ensembl:lncRNA
UCUGUUCACUGUUCACUGGUGUGACUGCAUCCCCACCCUGACACUAGCUCUGUCUAUCCACAGGGAACGCCACAGAUAUCAAUUACAACAGGUAAGACUGCCCACUGUCACUGACCUGCCUUGCUCUUUGUGUUUAAUCCCCCCCGCAGCCGACACAACACUUCUACUCGCUUAGUAAUUCAUUGUCAUUGAUUGGAUUUAUAUAAAGCACUUUUGUAGUACGCUCGAAGCACUUAGCGCUUUAGUUAGCUGACUAGUCAAACACAGUGGCAUUAUCAAACCGCGUUGAAUACAUUCUAUUGUGAACCUGAGGCACUGACACUGACACACACUCCUACACUUGUCCCUCGCUGCUUUCCGUCACAUGUGUUUCUGGUUUCCCUCCUGCUGCUACGGCCUUUCUUCCUGACUGCCGACUGUUUUCCCUGCCCUGGCGCUGUGGUAUAGCUUGUCUCUGAGUGUCCACUCUGCUGCUGUGUCCAGGAGUGAUGUGCAGCACUGCGACAACCAGAACCAGGACAGCCCAGCCAAGCUGCACCACGUCAUCCAACCAGAACAGGCUACCAGCUAGUGACCCAGCUCCUCACGCGUCCGGUUCUGCCAAGACCGCCCUCAUAAAUCUGCAUGCUGCUGAUCAGUGACCUUCUGAUCUCCCUCUCCUCCCCCCCUUUCCCAGUAAUACGGUCUCUCUCCCUCUCCAGCCCCCUUUCCCAGUAAGACCGUCUCUCUCCCUCUCCUCCCCCCCUUUCCCAGUAAUACGGUCUCUCUCCCUCUCCAGCCCCCUUUCCCAGUAAUACGGUCUCUCUCCCUCUCCAGCCCCCUUUCCCAGUAAGACGGUCUCUCUCCCUCUCCAGCCCCCUUUCCCAGUAAUACGGUCUCUCUCCCUCUCCAGCCCCCUUUCCCAGUAAGACGGUCUCUCUCCCUCUCCAGCCCCCUUUCCCAGUAAGACGGUCUCUCUCCCUCUCCAGCCCCCUUUCCCAGUAAUACGGUCUCUCUCCCUCUCCAGCCCCCUUUCCCAGUAAGACGGUCUCUCUCCCUCUCCAGCCCCCUUUCCCAGUAAGACCGUCUCUCUCCCUCUCCUCCCCCCCUUUCCCAGUAAUACGGUCUCUCUCCCUCUCCAGCCCCCUUUCCCAGUAAUACGGUCUCUCUCCCGCUCCAGCCCCCUUUCCCAGUAAGACCGUCUCUCUCCCUCUCCUCCCCCCCUUUCCCAGUAAUACGGUCUCUCUCCCUCUCUAGCCCCCUCUGUCAGUAAGACCGUCUCUCUCCCUCUCCUCUCCCCCCUUUCCCAGUAAGACGGUCUCUCUCCCUCUUCCUCUUUCCGUAGAACUCUCUGUAGCCUUCCCCCUCUCCCGCUCUCCUCCUUUCCCCCCUCUCCCUAUCUCCCUCUCUCCCCCUCUCCCCCCUCUCCCCCUCUCCCUCUCUCCCCCCUCUCCCCCCUCUCCCUCUCUCCCCCUCUCCCCCCUCUCCCUCUCUCCUUCUCUCCCUCUCUUGUAAAUUAACCACUAGAAUUGGCAGCUUCCUCUUCCUCUGAGCCCUGACCCUUUUGGAUGAGCUGUGGUCAAGGCUGUUGGAGCGAGAGAGGGUGUGGCGUUCUGUGUGGCCACUAGGGCGCACUCUUGCUGCUCCUCACCUCAUUCCUGGAGGCUUUAGUGAGGGUAAAUGAGAUGAGUUAAAUCUGUUGGAAACUAGACAAUAACCUGACCUAACAACCACCUUGCAAUUGAAGAUUGAUAGAAGUAAACGCACACGGCAUAGCCUACAUUUCUAACAAACCUACCCAUACGUUUACAUUUUUUCACUCUAUACAAUUCAUGUACAGCACCAGUCAAAGGUCUUAGAACACCUACUCAGUCAAGGCUUUUUCUUUAUUUUUACUAUUUUCUACACAGUAGAAUAAUAGUGAAGACUUCAAAACUAUGACAUAACAAAUAUUAUUAUUAUUUUAUUUUUUAUUAUUUUUGACCUUUUAUUUAACUAGGCAAUUCAAUUAAGAACAAAUUCUUAUUUACAGUGGCAGCCUGGGACUUUUACUAUAUGACCGGUGUUCUAGUGGUUGUGUAGUGGUCCUAGCUGCUCUCUGAGCUGGUUAACAUAUCAGACAGCUGUUUCUUUCAACUCCUUAAUAAGGGUUAGGAUCAAUUCCAUUUCAAUUCAAAGUUCCUGUUACCUUCCCGAAUUGACUGAAAUUAAAUUAAAUGGACCCCAACCCCGAUGUCCUCACUAUAGAGACAACAGGUGACUUCUUCUCCUGCUUCCAGUAUGUCCUGUCGUGUUGUCAGGCUCUGAGAUAUAUAUUUACAUAUUUGUAGAUAUGUCUCUGCUCAGGUCUAGAUUUAGUGGACAGAGUAUUGUAGGUAAGGGGGCAUAUCACGACCCCCUAUGCUG